AGUCCCUACGGGAGGCAGCAGUGGGGAAUAUUGCACAAUGGGGGAAACCCUGAUGCAGCGACGCCGCGUGAGCGAAGAAGUAUUUCGGUAUGUAAAGCUCUAUCAGCAGGGAAGAAAAUGACGGUACCUGACUAAGAAGCCCCGGCUAAAUACGUGCCAGCAGCCGCGGUAAUACGUAUGGGGCAAGCGUUAUCCGGAGUGAUUGGGCGUAAAGGGUGCGUAGGCGGCCUGCUAAGUCUGGAGUGAAAGGUACCGGCUCAACCGGUACAGGCUCUGGAAACUGGCGGGCGAGAGAGCAGGAGAGG
rnacentral:rRNA from 1 species